ACCAGUUCUCACAGAGCUUAAUAUGACACUCCACUGGUGUCAUGGCAACCCUAACGCCACACGAUUAAUCCAGCCUACAGCCGCUAGACUCCUGUGAGCUUUUCCAUCCAACGGGCAAUAUAGAAUAUUCAACGCACAAGGCAGAACAGCUAACAGCAAACAGCCCUCAAGCUGUGCAAUAGUGAGGGGACCUGAGCCCUAGGACCAUGCCUCAGGACUACCUGGUAUGAUGACUCCUUGCUGUCCCCAGUCCACCUGGCCGUGCUGCUGCUCCAGUUUCAACUGUUCUGCCUGCGGCUAUGGAACCCUGACCUGUUCACCGGACGUGCUUGUUGCACCCUCGAC
rnacentral:lncRNA from 1 species